CCUACGGGUGGCAGCAGUGAGGAAUAUUGGUCAAUGGGCGGAAGCCUGAACCAGCCAAGUAGCGUGCGGGAUGAAGGCCCUACGGGUCGUAAACCGCUUUUGCCCGGGGACAACACCCUCCACUUGUGGAGGUCUGCAGGUACCGUGCGCAUAAGGCCCGGCAAAUUCCGUGCCAGCCGCCGCGGUUAUAAGGAAGGCCCGAGCGUUAUCCGGAUUUAUUGGGAUUAAGGGGAGCGUAGGCGGGCGUUCAAGGCAGCGGUAAAAGUGUGGGGCUCAAACCCGCCCCGCAGUUGAAACUGGACGCCUUGAGUUAACGACAGGUAGGCGGAAUUCGUGGUGUAGCGGUGAAAUGCAUAGAUAUCACGAGGAACGCCGAUUGCGAAGGCAGCCUGCCGGGGUGCGACUGACGCUGAGGCACGAAGGUGCGGGUAUCGAACAGGAUUAGAUACCCCAGUAGUC
rnacentral:rRNA from 1 species